GCCCUUAGAGUUUGAUCCUGGCUCAGGAUGAACGCUGGCGGAGUGCCUUAAGCAUGCAAGUGGAACGGUUUUUUAGCCGCAAGGUUGGAAGACAGUCGCGGACGGGUGAGUAAUACAUAGGAAUCUACCUUUUGGUGGGGAAUAACGGUUCGAAAGGACCGCUAAUACCGCAUAAUAUCGCAAGAUAAAAGGCCAUAACUGGCCGCCGAUUGAGGAGCCUAUGUCCUAUCAGCUAGUUGGUGGGGUAAAAGCCUACCAAGGCGAUGACGGGUAGCUGGUCUGAGAGGAUGGUCAGCCACAAUAGCACUGAGACACGGGCUAUACACCUACGGGUGGCAGCAACUGGGAAUAUUGCACAAUGGACGAAAGUCUGAUGCAGCGACUCCGCGUGAGGGAUGAAGGUCUUAGGAUCGUAAACCUCUUUUGACAGGGAAGCGUUUGCCGCAAGGCAAGCGGACGGUACCUGUAGAAUAAGCACCUGCUAACCACGUGCCAGCAGCCGCGGUAAUACGUGGGGUGCAAGCGUUAUCCGGAUUUAUUGGGCGUAAAGAGUUCGUAGGCGUUUUGCCAAGUUUCGUUUGAAGCCCGAGGCUCACCUCGGACCCGGACGAAAAACUGGCAGAUUGAGUCAUCUAGGGGUACUGGAACUCAUAGUGUAGCAGUGAAUGCGUGAUAUAUGAGGACACAAGGCGAAGCAGUACUGGGGUGA
rnacentral:rRNA from 1 species